UUUACACUUACCAAUGAUGAUCAUUAUCUCUGCUGUCCAUCACAAAUAAACGUCAGCAAACCCACUAAGAAAUCACAGAGAAAAGACGCUCCUUAUGAUUCCAGAACUUAACUCAGAAUCAUCAGGUUUUUACAUUUUCUAGAGUAUCAGAGUAAUCUAGUGAUACUUGUCUGUACAUCCAUGGCUACACUGCAAACAGGAGCUGCUAAUGGCUAAUUCAGCAGUAGAAUGGAGUCCAAGGAGGGCUCACAGUGUCAGACCUUGAAAACCAGAACUCACAGAGUUCACACCUGUAGUUUUGGUUCACUUCGGUUUGGACCGAAAUAAAAAGCCUUCAGUUCUGUGUGACAAAAGGUGGGUUCUUUUACUGUAAUAUUAAGGUUGUACAGUUACUGUGCGGUUUCUGUUUCACUCACUUUUUAAUGAGGAACUGCCAAAAUAUACAGAGUAAGCCACAAAUACAACACACCUGUGCUAUCUCCUUUUCACUUUCUGUAUGAUCAGGCCAACUCCCCGCGCUCAUGUAUGUUACCAUGCUUAUAAAAUAAUUUGUAAAAAAAGCUUUUCCUUAACGGUUUAGGAUUUGUGCUAAAAUCACAUAUCAACUGCCAUAAAACCUUGCUGCUUUCACAUCAAGGACAAAGCACAGACUGAGAUCCUCUUUCUCAGGUGGUCUUGGUCCAGUUGUAAAGUUCCACAAAUGGGUUUGUGGUGGUUUAAAGUCAAAUAUAUUCAUUCCACAAUCAUAUAAGAAUAAGAAAACCAUUAAAUAUUUACAUUUGAGAAGAUGGAACCUGUGAUUUUUUAACCAUUUUCGCUCUAAAAAAUGCAUAAUUAAUCAAAUAUCAGAUAUUGCUGGAGAUUUGUUUUCUGUUAGUCGACUUAUAGUCAGAAUCACGUCAGUACUACUAAGCUCUGCUCCAUAAAACACCAAAACUACAUCUGAAAACAAAAAUCCAAAAUCCAAGAUGGCCUCAUGCCUAACUUUGCCCACCUUCUUCUCUCACUGAUGCAGUGACAACCCUCCAUUUAGCACAGACAUUUACAGGCUCAGGCUUCAAGAUUAUUUUCAAGUAUCGUCUCAAGACCUCAUCCUGGAAAAGUGAAAUUCCUCAUUCCACCCAAUUCUCUCCCAGACUGAGACUAGUGCUAGCUCGCCUGUCGCCCGGCCAAAGGAGACGUGAUCCUGAUAAUAUGGCCCUGCUGCCAUGGAGACCGGUGUGACUCUGCAUCUUAAUGGACUUCUUCGCAUAAGCCCCGCCUCUUAAUUAUUCAUUAGGCCCUCCAGAGAAAACAGGCCCCGCUGCAGCUUCACCACCUUACUGGUGUGAAUCCAGUUUGUAACCGGAUAUGAACAGCUGACGCCACGGCUGAAGACAGACUCUCUCUGCAACUAGGUUCAAGAAAACGAUAACUUUCAUGACCCAAAAACAAAAAAACACAUGUGAUUUAUUGCAGCCUGUGGUGGUGAGGGUGAGAUACCACGAAAAUGAAAAACAAAAUGUUAUUUUAGUUGUCAGUCUUCCAGUAAGUCAGAUGAUGAUGGGGGGAAGGUGAUGCAUUCAGGGCAGCAAAGUAACACCCUGCUGUAGGAAGUUCCCUCAUUACCACAUUGAAAAUGAGCAUGCAUACAUUUACAGGACACACAAAAAAAACACAGUGUAAUCUCAGAAUAAACACAAAACCUCUAACACUGUCACGUCAGCUUCUCUCUACCUCUAUCUUCUUUUCGAUUCUCGCCACCGCUCACCUUAGUCUGUCUGACACUAAAGCCACCACAGAUUAAAAUGACGAUGUGAAUUUCCAUAUGGAACACGUGGUAUUUAAGCUUCAUUCAGGUGAAUCGUUCUUCUCAGUUCUGCCUUCGUAGUUUUUUUACACACGCAAUACUCCCUCUGUAUCCAGUCAUCAAUCAUGCAACCCUGCAGUAUAUUUCAGCACGUUACAAAUGCAUUACUAAGUGAAAAUUGCCAGAUGUCAGCACCAUGCAAUAUUCAACUUGAUACUUUUCCCCUUCAUAGUGAAUUUUAUUUUCAAGAAACUUCUCCAUAAACACCACCCACCACACACUCUCACACACAUCAUAUGACACAUAUGAACUGGCCUUAUAUAAAUACUGGGGCUGCAAUUAAUGAUGAUUUUCAUUUUGGAUGAGUCUGAUGAUUAUUUUCUUUCUUUUUUUUAUUGUUUCAACUCUAAUUAAUAUUAAGAGAAAUCACACAGGUCUAAAUACUGUAACUAAAUUAGCAAAUUAAUAAUAAUUUUUGUUCUGGUUACAUUAAAUUUUAUAUUAAAGGGCAUAAAACACACACAAACGACACCAUGCAUUGACUCUAUGUUACAUUUACUCCUCUUACUCGCUUGAAGUAUUCAACAUCUUUGGUGACUAAAGAACCUGCCGAGUGUGUCUAACACCGUUGCCACAUUUGACACUUUCCUUCCUGUAGACGAGGCAUUCUGGUUCUUUUCUGGUGCUGGUGCCCUUCCCCAUGAGAAGCUGAAAGCAGCGUCAUCACAGAGUCUAAUUUGACUUAUUUUAGUUGUCUUAAGACUGAGUGCUGAGACAUAUCCACGUUUCUUUGAGCUCUGUUUACAGUGUCUGACAGACAACAUGCUGACUGCUGUUCACCUGAAACUGCUGAGAAUACACUGCAUUACUAUGACAACUGUGGCAACUGUGAGCAUGUACUUAACAGCAAUUUUAAAACAAUGAUUUUAAUCUUAAUCUUAUUUUGAUGCUUUGGAGAAAAAUAAUUGAAAAAUAUAGGCAAUACAAAUGCAGCCUGGUUUCAAUGAGCUGAAUUAUUAAAAAUGUACAGUGGGGAAACCAAUCGUGCAACACCACUGGCCUGUGUUCAAGGCACCCACUUUGGCACUGUCCAUCUUCUUCUACUAUCUGAUGCAUAUAGGACUGCACACAUCCAUUUAUCUGACUGAAUUCCUAUUUGCUACCACUCUAUGUUCCUGAAACAUUCUGCCUGAAGCUUUUAAGAUUAUAAUCUCAUUAUGACUCAGAGAAAAGUUCUGUGCUGCAGGCUCAGUUCAUCAUGAGACCUGAGAUCAGAACAUGUAAUUAAUUAAAUUAUCUCCCAUGUGUUAAGAAUGAUCAAAUAAAAAGUAAAUUAUAUUCAGCCUACAUCAGAAUUUUAUUAUACAACCAUCGACCUUGAUUAAACUUCCUCCCUCCACCUCUGGAGUAACACCCUGCAAUCCACUGAGCUUAAACCCAACCUCGACCUGAAGUCCAGCUCCAGCUCUGGAAACCCUAAAUCCAAUCAACUGUGUCUGCGGUGGAUCAUUCAGGGACAGGUCGCUCUGACAGAGCAGAGUCUCCUGACAGCUCAGACGCCACAGAGUGGCUGCUGAAGACCAGCAUCUCUCCCACACUGGUGAGACUCUUUGAACCCUAAACUGUCCUCAGAAAAGGAAUCACCUCAGCACUUCUGGAGACAGGAGCAAGAAAACAUGCUGAAUUUCACACAAUCAUCAUGGAAAAGGAAGCCAAGUAAGAGGUGACCUAGAAGUGUACCUUCAGUGUUGUAAUUUGUUUUAUUCCUUUUUAAUUAUACUUCAAUCCUUGUCUUACUGAGCAUUUGGAAACACAACACAGAUUUAUAUUUUUCAAAAAACAAAGAAAGCAACAAUCUAUUAUAGGGUUGAACACAUUUUAAACAUUUAAAUACUGUACAAAAAGGGAAGUUGUCACUUCUGGUGGAUACACAUGACCAACACUGUGUGGUGAAUAUCCAGGAACUGCACUGACUUUGCAGCUCUUGUGAAGUCAGUGCUUGAUUUUCUCUUUGUUCUCUAAGUGAGACUUCCUUUUUUCUGAGGCACCAACAAGUAACUCUCAAGCUCUUUGCAUUCCACAGAACUUGUGAUACACUAGUUCUUUUGUACUGUGUUGCCAGUAAGGAAGUUGGAGUAGACAUACUGUAUUAUGUAAUAUCUUACAAGGUCAUCUACCAACUCGUAAAAACAGACGCCUUUCCUCAGAGUAGCACUGAUGGUUUAACCUGUCACAACACAUCAUGAGACAGACGGAAAGGACAAGACCACCCUGACCAUGACCUGCAAAACUGCAAAUGAGAUGUAUAUGUGGCGCUUUGUUUCUUCCUGUUGCCACCGCAUACAAACUGUGUCGCUACGGUAACACAAGCUGGCCUCAUCACAAUAUGUUGAAGAACAACAGAGUAGUAAUAAAUAAGAAUCAGACUUUAUUGCCAAGUAAGUUUACACAGACAAGGACUUUGUCUUGGUAUAUCGGUGCUAAAGAACAGUGAUAGUAAACAAAGACAGAAUACUGACACGCACAAACAUACUUGCCUGUGAGGACUCUCGUUAACAUAAUGCAUUCCCUAGUCCGCCUUAUCCUGACCUUUACCAUCACAUAUUAACAUUAACAAUAUCCCUUGAGGGAUUAAUAAAGUAUUUCUGAUUCUGACUCUGAAUUAAAUGCUUCAGCCUAACCUUAACUCUUAACAUUUUUGAAGUUUUGAGGACCAGCUGAAAUCAAGCUCCUCACAAUAACAGUUUCAAACCAACAUUUGUCCACACAACCAUAGAAACACACACAGACACACACCAAGAAGCAUCAUAUAUUCACAUUCCUUUGACAUAAAAUUAAGCAAAAACAUUUUAAGCUAAUGCAGCUAUUCUGUGAAUUAAGUGCAAGGGCAGUGAACUGUUAUGCAAUCAGACGUAUGCAAACAUGCACACGCUGAUAUCGCUGUGCCUGUGAGGGCCUUCACUGACUAUAUUACAUCCCCAGCCCUCUGCACUGCACGUCUAACUCCUAACACCCCCCCCCAAAAAACUAAUCCUAAUUCUGCUCUCCUCUCUUAAUGUAGGUCCAAAUCCUCUAAAACCCUUUAAAGACAUCAGGAGUGGCAAAGUGUCCUUACUUUUUCUCUUUGUGACAGCAUAAACUGCUGCCACACACAUUUGCUUAUUCUUUCAGUCAAUCAGACCACACUACAGAUUGAAAAUCAGCUCAGCUCAGUCCUAUAUAAACACAGUCCUAGCAACAAAGCUGUCAAGCACUGAUUAUUAUGACUAAGCCUUGUUACUGACAGUGACAGUGGUUUAUGCUCACAUGCUGGCAUUGCAAGAUUCCAUGGGCUAACUGAGGUAGAGGUUUCCUUAACCACAGUGCUUCUAGUAUUCCAGGUUUGACAAGUUGUGGAGAGAAGCAGCUAGCUAAAUCUGAAUGUCUCACAUCCUGGUGACAUUUACAUAUGUAUAUGUAUAUAACCACACAUAAAAGGUCAUCUGCAAAGUAAAACAAUACAGACCUGACAUUGUUCUGAGGAGGCUGAGGUGAGAAAUCAGAAAAUCCCUAAUCUUCCUUUUAUUGCUUUCUCACUUUAUUAGUCAUUGCCCUGGAUGUGAAAACAGCUUUUCAAGAGGAUUUACUGUACUUUUUGUGACUUGCCUUGCCAAUGAACAUUUCUCUGCAGCACAAAUAAAUGAGAGCUCUACAGCUACAGAGCCCCAAACAGUGGACUGACUGUAAAGAGGCAAAUGUGUGUUGCAUGAUUCAGUGUGGAGAGCCUAGGUGGAGUGGGGGUUUCUGGGUAAAAUGCACAAGCUUCCCCCCAAAAAAGCUGACUUCAUACCUCAGUCUGCCCUUAAGUAUACUUUGUAUUAACCCUGACAUUAAAUAACACUGGAAAUCAAAUCACUUUUAGGGAUCGCUGACAUUGGAGAUCCAGAAAUGUUUGGCUUUGUGAUCAGUAACUAGACCACACAAAUAAGAAAAGACAGGUGUGUGUGUGUGUGUCUGUGCUGCAAGAACAGGAGCCCUUUAAUCACAGAAAGGCCAAGUGUUCCACUUCCCUGCAUUGCAUCCAUCACUCCAGCCCUAGUUCUCCCCGAUCCCUCCAUCUUCAAUCCCUCCUUCCUCAUCCCCUCCACCACCUCUGCUUGCUCUCCAACCGAGCCCACCGACACAACCCCCUCAUGCAUGCACGCACGCACUCACACACACACACACACUCCCAACGAUUUCUUGCCAGUGAAGCAUGCCACUGAAGCAAAGCUCCUUUUCCUCAGGAUUUAUAAUCCCAAGGGGCUCCGGCAAAAAAGGCGACUGAAAGAGCUCUUUAUAAAGCCAGGGGCAGCCGGUGGCUCACCUCUAGAUGGUCACUACGCUCAGCAUUAGCUCACUGCCUACAGUCGAGGAUCAUAACCAGAAAGGAGGGACGUUUUUUUCUUUUUUUGCUAGGUCACAUUGAAUAAGAUAUGUCCCAGUAGACACACAUCUCCUGAGCACCUACCAAAACCAUAUCACAAGCAUCUUAAAUGACAUGAAGACGUUUUGACUGGCUCUCUGUAGAAAGUACACACAGUCACAUUUGCAGCCUGCAUGAUGAUAACCCAAGAUACAUCUCAUAUAAUGAAAUCAGCAUGUCAUAACCUGAUUAUAUGAGACUACUCAUGUUGCAAAAUGAAAAUUACUGGACUGUACUGGUGAGUUAAGUGCUUCUGCAGCUGCAAACAGCCUUUCAUUCUCCCUAUAUCCUUCUUACUGACUUAUUUUACCUUUUUUAGGUUUAAAAAAAACUAUAAAAGAACCAUAUAAUAAACUUGGCUUUUACCUGUAUCGUAAUUAAGGAAACAUGUCGUAGCAAGUACUGCUCCAUAGGUAUUUACUUUCAGUUUCAGCCUUGGCCCAUAUCAUAACAGGUGUUACUGAUAUCAUGCAGGCCAGAAAUACCGGUCUAGUUCUUCCCGAGAAGAUACUGUUGACCCACAGGUAUGAAUUAACAUGCUUAACUUCCACAGCUUGUUUUCCUUGUUGUCUGUGUCACGAACAUCAUCUCUGGAGACUAGAAGAACAUCCCAGAGCAAAUAUGUCUUCCCCGGUGUGCAUGCUGCACAUCUUCUGACUCAGCUACUAACCUGGAAAAAGUUCAGGAAAGAGCGGUGAGGGAGGAAAAGAGGCUGAGGAGGAGAGAGGUGAACUUCUGUGUGACAAGAACAACAAACAAAUAACACAGAGAGGAAAAGGUGGAGGAGGAGCUGUGUACACAGCAGCACCUUUGGGAUACACAUGCUUUGAAAUCGUUCACUAAAUGUGGAUCAGCAUUCG